rnacentral:rRNA from 1 species
UCUACGGGCGGCUGCAGUCGAGAGUAUUUAGCAAUGGGGGAAACCCUGACUAUGCGACGCCGCGUGAGUGAUGAAGGCCUUCGGGUCGUAAAGCUCUGUCAGAUCGGAGGAAGCCUCAGGGAUGAAUAAGCCCGAAAGGUGACAGUACGGUCAAAGGAAGCCACGGCUAACUCCGUGNCAGCAGCCGCGGUAAUACGGGGGUGGUGAGCGUUACUCGGAUUUAUUGGGUGUAAAGGGUAUGUAGGCGGUUGUGCAAGUCGAAUGUGAAAUCCCAUGGCUCAACCAUGGAACUGCAUCCGAAACUGCACGACUUGAGCACUGUAGAGGAGAGCGGAAUUCCCGGUGUAAGGGUGAAAGCUGUAGAUAUCGGGAGGAACACCGAUGGCGAAAGCAGCUCUCUGGGCAGAGGCUGACGCUGAAAUACGAAAGCUAGGGGAGCAAACAGGAUUAGAUACCCUAGUANUC